AUCACUUCUUGGCCUUUUGGCUAAGAUCAAGUAUAGUACAUGAUGUAUCUUGAUUCUUAUUUUUUCCCCAUUCCUCUGCCCUCCCUUCAACCCAUU
rnacentral:snRNA from 1 species